AUUUUAUUAAAUAAGAUAGGCUGUAAAGCCUUGAAAUUAAGCACUUUGGGGCGUUUUCCCCUAGUGCUUUUUGAUUUCU
rnacentral:sRNA from 1 species